UAGCAUAAUCAUUUGUCUUUUAAUUGAAGGCUGGAAUGAAAGGGGGAACAAACUUAAUAUUAUGUGUGGUUUAUUUAAGGUAAUUUAAAGAUUGAGUUAAAAUGCUCGAUAGGGGCCGAGGGACGAUAAGACCCUAAAAGGUUUAGUUUUUUGAGGGGCUAUUAGGUUUGUGUGACUAUGGCCCUGAAAUAAAGUUUAGCUGGGGUAGUUUUUACAAUUAGUUUGUGAGUGAUCAAAACUUAAAUAAAGGUUUCAAGACUUUUUAUAUAAAGGUAUUUAGGUAUAGUUACUUUAGGGGUAACAGCACAAUAAACUUAGGGAGACCUUAUCUAUAGGAUUGUUUGUGACCUCGAUGUUGAAUUAUAAUUAUUACGUUAAGCAACGUCUAACAAAUUAAGGUGGUCUGUCUCGACCUUUUGAAAUUUUACAUGAUUU
rnacentral:rRNA from 1 species